ACUGUACCGCUGACGAUACAUUCCGCCCCAUCCCCCGGCUAAGUCUAAUGAGGAAGGCUAAGGGGUAAUAUAUCCCGCCUUAAUUCUCACAGCAACCCCCAAGUGAACCCUGAAUGCUACCAGGGAAGAUGUGCCCACUGGAGCAAUAAUGGUGCGAAGGUUACAGAGGCAAACCCACAUUACUGAUUGACUCUGAGGCUGUUCGACGGAGGGAACUCAUGCCUGGUAUUGUAAACCUGAUCUAAAGUCUCAGGAAGUCAAAGGCCCUGAGGAGAAACUGACUAGUAUCUUGUUAAAUGAAGAGGCCCAGCUACUUCCAAUUUUUUUGGUUAUACCCACAGCUUAGUGUUACCUUCGCCCCUGGCCAGAGAAGCUCCUCUCUGCAGAGGGCUGUGGUGACUACACAGGCUCAGUACUGGUCAAAAUGCUGGCAAGUGACUGCUGAGAGCUCAGCUUUAAAUGGGGUAUCUAUAUUAACCCUUGCCUGCCCGAGGCUGAGGAAACAUGGAAAAGGAGGGUGAUGCAGAAAGGAGGCAAGAGCCAGAGGAUGGGAGAGUGCUGUCUUCUGAACAUGACAGAGCCCAAGGCAUUCACGGACUCACAGCAGACUUGGGUACCUACAUAAGGCGUGGUCAAGAUCAAGCCUGAAAGAUCAGUUAACCUUCUAGCCGGCAGUACUGACUGUAUUUGAUGGAUGACCAAAAAGAUAAAGGGCAAAGGGAAUGAAGAUAGGAAGGGAUGAAGGGAUGUGUGGGCAAGUAGAGGGAUGGGAGGGGAGAGCUGGGGGUGGCUGUAGUCAAGAUACACUGUAUGAAACUGUUUAAGAAUACACAAAAGAUAACAACAAAAUGUAAAACAAAGAAUGCAGACAGGCAGGUAAAGUUUCUGUCAGGUGUGGUGGUGAGUGCCUUUAAUCCUAGCAUUUGGUAAGAAGCAGCCAGAUCUCUAUGAAUCGAAGACCAGUCUGGUCUACAUAGCAAGUUCCAGAUCAGCCUAGACUAUAUAGUGAAAUCCGCCUCCCCUUCCUCCCUC
rnacentral:lncRNA from 1 species